ACAAAUGCAAUGAAAAAGAGGAGUAAAAACAGUAAAGAUAUUAAGAGAAGAAAAUCCUUAGGCUGUGAGAUUUUCUAUAUCGGAUGUUUUGAAGGUAGCUUUUGAGCAGCUUUGCUGAAAGUUUAAGUAGGUAAAGUCGGCAGCUAUGUCGUUAAAGUAAUGAGAGUCUAUAAUUUUUUAUGAUUGUAGAAAUAAAGGUGGUACCGCGAGUCUUCGUCCUUUUA
rnacentral:ncRNA from 1 species